UACGUAGGGGGCGAGCGUUGUCCGGAUUUAUUGGGCGUAAAGAGCGUGUAGGCGGCCAGGUAGGUCCGUUGUGAAAACUCGAGGCUCAACCUCGAGACGUCGAUGGAAACCAUCUGGCUAGAGUCCGGAAGAGGAGAGUGGAAUUCCUGGUGUAGCGGUGAAAUGCGCAGAUAUCAGGAAGAACACCUAUGGCGAAGGCAGCUCUCUGGGACGGUACUGACGCUGAGACGCGAAAACUAGGGGAGCAAACAGG
rnacentral:rRNA from 1 species